GGGACCUAUUGUGCUGACAUUUACAAUGUUUACAUAUAGAAAAGUUUGUUUUUUUCUGCUUAUAAUGCCGUUUUCUAAAGAUAUUAGUGAACAAAAUCGAUUUGCUAACAAUAUUUAAUAUAUUUUAAAUGUGCUAAAAUUGGAUUCAACAGCAAAAGUCGCAUAAAUAACAUAUAAAUAACGAAUUUGUUCACCUAUUACAAAUGGGGUUAUGUGGUUGUAACUGUUUAUUUUGGGAAUAAAAUGAAAAUGAUCAAUUAAACGACUGGAAAACUAUAGUGAAGUGAAGAACAUCUUGAAGUUCCAAUGAUGUUUCAAGAUGAGAUAAAUCGAAAUAAUGGUUGUAUGUUAGAAGGACAGAGAAUAUGAAGAAAUGUUAUUGCUGCAUAUUUAGUGUAGUGAAAUACAAACUUCAAACAUUAUAAUAUAUUUUUUGAUUUCAAACAUUUCAUAUGAUUAUGAAAGAACAUCUUUCUUUUUAAAACAAUGAAGAAGUGAAGAACAUAAUAAAGUUCCAACGAAAAUGAUUCCAGAUGAGGAAAAUCGAAAUAAUGGUUGUAUGUUACAUGUAUAGAGAAUACGAAGAAAUGUUAUUGCUGCAAACUUAGUGUAGUGAAUUAAAAACUUAUUGUCAAAUACAAAUCAAUUUAUUUCAUACUUUUAUAAUAUAUAGUGAUAUAAUUUUAUAUGUGUUCAAAUAAAAAUAUUAAUAAAUAAAAUACAAUAAACACAAA